rnacentral:rRNA from 1 species
AGGUGUCAUAAGCGGAGGAGUUCCGUAGGUGAUCCUGCGGAGCAUAUUGUAGCCGGAGGAGAUCCGCCCGCUCCCGGUAAAACGGGACGGCCCGCCAGAGGACCCCUAAACUCUGUUUCUAUAUGUAACUUCUGAGUAAAACCAUAAAUAAAUCAAAACUUUCAACAACGGAUCUCUUGGUUCUGGCAUCGAUGAAGAACGCAGCAAAAUGCGAUAAGUAAUGUGAAUUGCAGAAUUCAGUGAAUCAUCGAAUCUUUGAACGCACAUUGCGCCCGCCAGUAUUCUGGCGGGCAUGCCUGUUCGAGCGUCAUUUCAACCCUCAAGCCCAGCUUGGUGUUGGGACUCGCGAGUCAAAUCGCGUUCCCCAAAUUGAUUGGCGGUCACGUCGAGCUUCCAUAGCGUAGUAGUAAAACCCUCGUUACUGGUAAUCGUCGCGGCCACGCCGUUAAACCCCAACUUCUGAAUGUUGACCUCGGAUCAGGUAGGAAUACCCGCUGAACUUAAGCAUAUCAAUAAGCGGAGGAGAAGGUGAACCUGCAGACCACCUGAUUAAUCCAAGGAAGCCGCGGAUACCUGGGCAACGGUCGCCGAGAAUAAUAAUUUAUAUGUAUCGAGUAACAUAAAUAAUAAACUUCACGAAUCUUGUUUGGCUCAGAAAACCAAAGGCAUUAUAUG